CCCUUAGAUGUUCUGGGCUGCACGCGCGCUACACUGAAGCGUUCAACGAGUAUUCACCUUGCCCGGGAGGGUUGGGUAAUCUUUUGAAAACGCUUCGUGAUGGGGAUAGAUUAUUGCAAUUAUUAAUCUUCAACGAGGAAUUCCUAGUAAACGCAAGUCAUCAGCUUGCAUUGAUUACGUCCCUGCCCUUUGUACACACCGCCCGUCGCAUCUACCGAUUGAAUGGAGAGGCAAAAUCUUCGGACCGUGACGCUUGGGAGUCAAAUCUCGGGCUGUCGUGGGAAGUGGAUUAAACCUUUCUAUUUAGAGGAAGGUAAAGUCGUAACA
rnacentral:rRNA from 1 species